rnacentral:ribozyme from 2 species
AAGAUAACCCAGUCAUACGUAGCCGGUCUCAAGCCCGGUUGAGAAAUGGGAAGUGUCUU